rnacentral:rRNA from 1 species
GAUGAACGCUGGCGGCGUGCCCAAUACAUGCAAGUCGAGCGAACAGACGAGGAGCUUGCUCCUCUGACGUUAGCGGCGGACGGGUGAGUAACACGUGGAUAACCUACCUAUAAGACUGGGAUAACUUCGGGAAACCGGAGCUAAUACCGGAUAAUAUAUUGAACCGCAUGGUUCAAUAGUGAAAGACGGUUUUACUGUCACUUAUAGAUGGAUCCGCGCCGCAUUAGCUAGUUGGUAAGGUAACGGCUUACCAAGGCAACGAUGUGUAGCCGACCUGAGAGGGUGAUCGGCCACACUGGAACUGAGACACGGUCCAGACUCCUACGGGAGGAAGCAGUAGGGAAUCUUCCGCAAUGGGCGAAAGCCUGACGGAGCAACGCCGCGUGAGUGAUGAAGGUCUUCGGAUCGUAAAACUCUGUUAUUAGGGAAGAACAAAUGUGUAAGUAACUAUGCACGUCUUGACGGUACCUAAUCAGAAAGCCACGGCUAACUACGUG